ACCUGAUAUGAGUCCUUUCGGUCAUGAUAUAAUUUUAUCCAGUUGGCGAGCUCAAUUGAGUAAUAAUGGUUCAAACCCUUCCUUGUUUAGAGCAGUCUAUAAUGCAUCUGGAUGGCCAUAGCCAUGGUUUAUCGAAGGUACUUUUCUGAACAAAAUCACAGUUUCCACCCCUGUGCUAGAUAAAUCAAAGUUCAUAAAACAUUGAAGCUUGCACCUUUGCUAUUUAAUAUUUAUAUAUUUAUUCCAUAUGCUUGUUCACUGUUGUAACAAUGUUGUUCACUUGGAGAGAAAACAGGAAUAUUCCAAAUGAUAUUUAGCCCUUAUCCCGCCUUUUUUUAUAUUGACUUGCCUUUUGUGAAGUAAAUUCAUGUCAAUAUUAAAAAACCACUACCUUGCCCAAGACGAAACCAAAA
rnacentral:lncRNA from 1 species